AUUGAACGCUGGCGGCAGGCCUAACACAUGCAAGUCGAGCGGAUGAAGGGAGCUUGCUCCUGGAUUCAGCGGCGGACGGGUGAGUAAUGCCUAGGAAUCUGCCUGGUAGUGGGGGAUAACGUCCGGAAACGGGCGCUAAUACCGCAUACGUCCUGAGGGAGAAAGUGGGGGAUCUUCGGACCUCACGCUAUCAGAUGAGCCUAGGUCGGAUUAGCUAGUUGGUGGGGUAAAGGCCUACCAAGGCGACGAUCCGUAACUGGUCUGAGAGGAUGAUCAGUCACACUGGGACUGAGACACGGUCCAGACUCCUACGGGAGGCAGCAGUGGGGAAUAUUGGGCAAUGGGCGAAAGCCUGAUCCAGCCAUGCCGCGUGUGUGAAGAAGGUCUUCGGAUUGUAAAGCACUUUAAGUUGGGAGGAAGGGCAGUAAGUUAAUACCUUGCUGUUUUGACGUUACCAACAGAAUAAGCACCGGCUAACUUCGUG
rnacentral:rRNA from 1 species